UACUGCUAUCAGUGUUCGAUUAAGCCAUGCGAGUUAAAUGUUCUUCGUGAACAUGGCGUACUGCUCAGUAACACGUGGAUAACCUGCCCUAAGGUCCGGCAUAACCCCGGGAAACUGGGGAUAAUACCGGAUAAACCAUAGAUACUGGAAUGUUCUGUGGUUAAAAGUUCCGGCGCCUUAGGAUGGAUCUGCGGCCUAUCAGGUAGUAGUGGGUGUAAAGUACCUACUAGCCGACGACGGGUACGGGUUGUGAGAGCAAGAGCCCGGAGAUGGAUUCUGAGACAUGAAUCCAGGCCCUACGGGGCGCAGCAGGCGCGAAAUCUUUACAAUGCGGGAAACCGCGAUAAGGGGACACUGAGUGCCAGCAUAUUAUGUUGGCUGUCCACCUGUAUAAAUCACAGGUGUUAGCAAGGGCCGGGCAAGACCGGUGCCAGCCGCCGCGGUAACACCGGCGGCCCGAGUGGUAGCCACUAUUAUUGGGUCUAAAGGGUCCGUAGCCGGUUUGAUCAGUCUUCCGGGAAAUCUGACAGCUCAACUGUUAGGCUUCCAGGGGAUACUGUCAGGCUUGGGACCGGGAGAGGUAAGAGGUACUACAGGGGUAGGAGUGAAAUCUUGUAAUCCCUGUGGGACCGCCAGUGGCGAAGGCGUCUUACCAG
rnacentral:rRNA from 1 species